rnacentral:sRNA from 1 species
UUGCCCUGCGGAGUGCUCGGGUCCGCCGCAUCUCCUGGGUCCGUAGGGUUCGGUCGGCGGGCGGUGGUGUUGGAUGGCCUCUCCUCACCACUGCCUGCCGAUCACCGA